AGGACGAACGCUGGCGGCGUGCUUAACACAUGCAAGUGGAGCGACGAACCGGGGCUUGCCCCGGGGCAGAGCCGCGAACGGGUGAGUAACACGUGGGUUACCUACCCCGAUGACCGGGACAACCCGAGGAAACUCGGGCUAAUACCGGAUGUGGUCUUCGGACGAAAGGAAGCUUCGGCCUCCGCAUCGGGAUGGGCCCGCGGCGCAUUAGCUUGUUGGUGGGGUAACGGCCUACCAAGGCGACGAUGCGUAGCUGGUCUGAGAGGACGAUCAGCCACACUGGGACUGAGACACGGCCCAGACUCCUACGGGAGGCAGCAGUGGGGAAUCUUGCGCAAUGCGCGAAAGCGUGACGCAGCAACGCCGCGUGGGGGAAGAAGGCCUUCGGGUUGUAAACCCCUUUCAGGAGGGAAGAUGGCGCGAGCAAUCGCGCGGACGGUACCUCCAGAAGCAGCCACGGCUAACUCUGUGCCAGCAGCCGC
rnacentral:rRNA from 1 species